rnacentral:rRNA from 1 species
GAUGAACGCUGGCGGCGUGCCUAAUACAUGCAAGUCGAGCGAACGGACGAGAAGCUUGCUUCUCUGAUGUUAGCGGCGGACGGGUGAGUAACACGUGGAUAACCUACCUAUAAGACUGGGAUAACUUCGGGAAACCGGAGCUAAUACCGGAUAAUAUUUUGAACCGCAGGGUUCAAAAGUGAAAGACGGUCUUGCUGUCACUUAUAGAUGGAUCCGCGCUGCAUUAGCUAGUUGGUAAGGUAACGGCUUACCAAGGCAACGAUGCAUAGCCGACCUGAGAGGGUGAUCGGCCACACUGGAACUGAGACACGGUCCAGACUCCUACGGGAGGCAGCAGUAGGGAAUCUUCCGCAAUGGGCGAAAGCCUGACGGAGCAACGCCGCGUGAGUGAUGAAGGUCUUCGGAUCGUAAAGCUCUGUUAUUAGGGAAGAACAUAUGUGUAAGUAACUGUGCACAUCUUGACGGUACCUAAUCAGAAGGCCACGGCUAACUACGUG